GCCGAUGUAGCUCAGUUGGCAGAGCAGCGGUAUCGUAAACCGCGGGUCGUCGGUUCGAUUCCGACCAUCGGCU
rnacentral:tRNA from 1 species